rnacentral:rRNA from 1 species
UACGUAGGGGGCAAGCGUUGUCCGGAAUUAUUGGGCGUAAAGAGCGCGUAGGCGGCCCUGUAAGUCCGCUGUGAAAGUCGGGGGCUCAACCCUCGGAUGCCGGUGGAUACUGUCGGGCUUGAGUACGGAAGAGGCGAGUGGAAUUCCUGGUGUAGCGGUGAAAUGCGCAGAUAUCAGGAGGAACACCAAUUGCGAAGGCAGCUCGCUGGGACGUUACUGACGCUGAGACGCGAAAGCGUGGGGAGCAAACAGG